rnacentral:rRNA from 1 species
UGAACGCUGGCGGCGUGCUUAACACAUGCAAGUCGAACGAUGAAGCCCAGCUUGCUGGGUGGAUUAGUGGCGAACGGGUGAGUAACACGUGAGUAACCUGCCCUUGACUCUGGGAUAAGCCCGGGAAACUGGGUCUAAUACCGGAUAGGAGCGCCUGUCGCAUGACGGGUGUUGGAAAGAUUUUUCGGUCAUGGAUGGACUCGCGGCCUAUCAGCUUGUUGGUGAGGUAAUGGCUCACCAAGGCGACGACGGGUAGCCGGCCUGAGAGGGUGACCGGCCACACUGGGACUGAGACACGGCCCAGACUCCUACGGGAGGCAGCAGUGGGGAAUAUUGCACAAUGGGCGGAAGCCUGAUGCAGCGACGCCGCGUGAGGGAUGACGGCCUUCGGGUUGUAAACCUCUUUCAGUAGGGAAGAAGCGAAAGUGACGGUACCUGCAGAAGAAGCACCGGCUAACUAC